GAGUUUGAUCGUGGCUCAGAUUGAACGCUGGCGGCAUGCCUUACACAUGCAAGUCGAACGGCAGCAUGAUCUAGCUUGCUAGAUUGAUGGCGAGUGGCGAACGGGUGAGUAAUACAUCGGAACGUGCCCUGUAGUGGGGGAUAACUAGUCGAAAGAUUAGCUAAUACCGCAUACGACCUGAGGGUGAAAGUGGGGGACCGCAAGGCCUCAUGCUAUAGGAGCGGCCGAUGUCUGAUUAGCUAGUUGGUGGGGUGAAGGCCCACCAAGGCGACGAUCAGUAGCUGGUCUGAGAGGACGAUCAGCCACACUGGGACUGAGACACGGCCCAGACUCCUACGGGAGGCAGCAGUGGGGAAUUUUGGACAAUGGGCGAAAGCCUGAUCCAGCAAUGCCGCGUGUGUGAAGAAGGCCUCGG
rnacentral:rRNA from 1 species